rnacentral:rRNA from 1 species
GACGAACGCUGGCGGCGUGCUUAACACAUGCAAGUCGAACGGUGAAGCGCCUUCCUUUUUGGUGGGUGUGGAUGAGUGGUGAACGGGUGAGUAACACGUGAGUAACCUGCCCCCUUCUUCUGGAUAACCGCAUGAAAGUGUGGCUAAUACGGGAUAUUCUGGGUCUGUCGCAUGAUGGGUCUGGGAAAGAUAUUGUUUCGGUGGGGGAUGGGCUCGCGGCCUAUCAGCUUGUUGGUGGGGUGAUGGCCUACCAAGGCGGUGACGGGUAGCCGGCCCGAGAGGGUGGACGGUCACACUGGGACUGAGACACGGCCCAGACUCCUACGGGAGGCAGCAGUGGGGAAUAUUGCACAAUGGGCGCAAGCCUGAUGCAGCGACGCCGCGUGAGGGAUGGAGGCCUUCGGGUUGUGAACCUCUUUCGCCAGUGAAGCAGGCCUGCCUCGUUUGUGGGUGGGUUGACGGUAGCUGGAUAAGAAGCGCCGGCUAACUACGUG